rnacentral:lncRNA from 1 species
GGAGAGAGGGAGUAAGAGGGUUUGCCUCCGGUUCUGUUUUCAGUUUCCCAUUUUCCAACGAGGGUUCUACACCACCGGUUAACUUUCCUAUCUCCUCCAGAGCAUCAGGAUCUUCCUUUUUGAGGUUCAAAUCAACCUCUGGCUCAUCUCCUACAUCGCUUUCGGAGUCUUCUUCUCUCUCAGCUUCAUCAACAUCUUCCACAUCCGUAACACCGCUCUUGAACAUGCGUAUUCUCUCCCUCGCUUCAGCGAAUAUAGUCUCAGCAUCACCUGCGUCUUUUCUAUAGGAAGGACGCACACAGUACGUGGAAGGAGCCACCCUCUCGAAUAGUUUUGUAUCACGAGACAACGCAGCAGCAACGGAGGCUUCAGGUGUCCUGCUCGUCGUUAGAUCCCUCAAUCCUGAUUUCUAUGAUCCAAAAAUAAGAAAGAAAAAUUUGAGAAUGAAACCAAAGCUGGUGGUUUAAAGUAAGUUUCAAGAAAAAGAGAAAGCAAUCUUUUACCUGAAUCUUCUCUGCAACGUCGAGGAUAGUCAAACCUUUUUCACCCUCAAUAGACAGAACGUGGAAGGCAGCGAAUUUAACUGUGCCUGGAGUCAAACGAUGCCGUGAACGUCGCGGAUUCGAAAGACCCUUUUCUUGCAUCUUGGCAAAAGCAUUCUCGGCUGCUGCUCCUAUCCUUAAGUUGAAUAUCACGUUCUCAGAGUUGUUGGCCUACACUUGAAAGAAAAUAAAGUAAACAGAAGCCACUAAAUACAUUUAAAAAUAGAGAUUUUCUCCCACCUCGUUUUCAUCGUGGACAGACAUGGUUUUAAUGUCUUGUUUCUUUAGUUCCGGUCCAAACCCGGCAGAGAGAGCGAGUUGCCUCAGGAUCUCAGGCCAAGUAAAAACAUUCAAGUUUUUUCUCCAGCUGUUUAUGUCAAAACCCCACGCAUAUGCCUAAACAUCCAAAAUUUGCAGCAUAUAAACAUUAGGAUGAAUACAUUAUUAAAAUCGUUAAAAAGACUUCAAAAUGGGGUAAACUCUUACACCCUCUACGACAUGAGGAUGACCCCCACCGGGAUUAGCUGCAGCGUUCUGGUUUGCUCCGACGCCGACUGAGAGUGUUCUACCAACACCUUCAAUAUCUUUGAUUAUAGUCUUCAAAAGAACAAUGUUUAUCUCUCCCAUGAGUCGUGGGUCCUACAUGACCAAGCAAUCAUGUUACUGAUCUAACGCAGAGACACAAGAAAGAGAGAUUUAACACUUACAUGGUCAUGGAAUGCUUGAGUAAACUCAUCCAGAGUAAAUGGCCAAAGGCCAAGAACAUCCGCGAAAUUGAUUAAGAAUCUCCACACCUAUAUUGUUUUUUUUUUUUAACCAAAUCAAAACAUUGGUUACUGAUAUAGUUAUUAUAUUCACAUAUAAAAAAAACAAUACGGAAAAACUCACCAUAAGAAGAUUAGCAAUAUUCUCAUCAGAACCAUUCCAUGGUUUCACAGCAAAAGGCUUUUUCAAAUUUACAGAUGUUGGUGGAAAUGUCACUUGCUUAUCUGAAAGAAUAUAUAAUCCACAGAUGGAUAUAAGAAAAAAGAAAAUGUUCUCAUAAACGACGGGAAUCUAAAUUGUUAAAAGUUUAAUAAAUUGUUAAUUCACCUCUAUAUGCAUCAAGGUUCUGUAGAGUCUCAAAGUCGAGGGCGACCAUUGAAGGCAAUCCUAGGGAUAACGCAGCAACCUCCAUGAGCUCUAAGCGUUCGUCUUCAAUAAGUUCCAUUGAUUCCUUAGCAAUCUUACGAGCCAUUGCCCUCUCGUUAGCAGCUUUAAGCCUUGCAACCUCUUUCACCCUACGCAUCUCUUCUUUUUGUCGCAUCUUCUCAGCCUGGUCCACAUUUACGAGGUCCAAAUGAGAAAAUAACACUUCACCUAAAAGUUCUGAAGGUACUUAAAGGUGCGCGUCACAAUACCCUGAUUGUUUCUUUCUUCAAGAACUUCUCUCUUCGCUGCAUCUCUUUCAUCUGCUCUUUGAGGUACCUCUCUUCCUCUCUCUGCCUUUCACGUAAAAGCCGUUCUUCCUCUUUCCGUCUUUCACGGUCUUGCCUCUCCAUUUCUUUCCUUACUUGCUCCUCUCUCUACACAACAAACUGACACACUGAGAAAAAAAAACCCAACAUUUAAUGAAGUAUGUGCUUAGCUUAAAUGGAACAAGACCUUUCGUCUCAGCAUAUCUUGUCUCUCAAGCUCUUUUCGGAUUCUCUUCUCAUGAGCCUCCACUUCCCGAGCUAUUCUUGCUUCUUCACUCUGUAAUUGAAAAUAUAUAACGAGAAGAUGAGGGUAGAAGUACCUAGCACUUAACAUUAAAAAGUCAGUCAUAGAUGAUUACCUUGCGUUUUCUCUCCAGUUGCAGGAGAACAUCAUCAUCAUCAUCAUCACCAUCAUCCUCAUCAUCAUCAAUACCAACUUCUCUCUCGGACUUCACAAAAGGAUCCUUGUUUCCAUGUAGAGCAGGAUCCACGUAGCUCUUCUGGUACGGUGAGUCGUAUUCGCCCAAGACGUGCCCUGGUUUGACGUGAUGAGCUGAAAGGUUUAAAUUUGGUAUCUGUGGCGAAACUUUAUAGUCAUCCCGAUGUCCACCAGAGACUGAUGAAGCCCUCAUAACCACCGAAGCAUCAAGUGGAACUCCAUAAUGAUGCGACGCCGGAGAAGCUCUUUCGGAAUGAUCAGUCCUUGAAGAUGGUUGCUCCGGAAGGAACUGAUACUCACGAAUAGUCCUCACAGAUUCCUAAAAUGAUAGAAAUGACCAAAUUAUUAGUUGAGUACGAACAAGAAAACACAUGAGCAACAGAGCGGUUUUGGCAUUUACAUUAACUUCCUUACCCCGACGUCCUCCUCCUCCUACUCCUACUACCUCAUUGGAUAUACCGAGUGUUCCUUUCGUCGGCCUUGUUCUCGUGCCGCUGCUGCGUCGUCCCUUCUUCCUACCCCCACGCGGUUGAGCUCUCGGCCUCAACAUUGGUUCGCCAUUUGAGUUUGCUGCACUUCGCGGUGGUUUACCAGAAGCCGGUGAUGGUUUCUUGCCACGUUGGGAACGAGGCCGGCCACGUCCUCGUGGUGGUCGACCUCUACCUGAACCCGGCUCCGUGUCUUCUUGAGCGUAUGCAACUUGCACCGGAGUAGCCUCGAUGACGUCAUGUUCUUGAACGUUCCUCAGAAAAUUCGUCUCCAAACCCUUAAAAGAAGAAAGUUUUUAAAACUGUAUGAAUAUAUCAUAACAAAAGAAUCAUCAUUCAGUAUUAUAUAUGUAUAAACUUACGACAAAAUCUUCAGAUUCUUUGUCCUUUUGAGGAUCCUUGUUUUGAUCAGGUGUGUAAGCAAUGGAGCUGUCGAGUUCAAAGAGUCUCAAAGCUACACCUCCCGUGGUCUUCGGUAUCCACGGUACUACUUUAACAUCUCUGACAAGAGCUUCUUCUGAUAAGUCCAAGAGUUCACAAGUUGUCUCAAAGUUUGAAGACAGGAAGUCUUUCUUUAGCGCCACCUCUAACAUCGCCAGAACCUGAAACCAAGACGAAGGGAUCAGAACUGUCCGAAAGAUCAAUGCACAAUUUGGGUAAAACAUUGAAAACCUGAUGAAGUUCUUCAGGGGAACUUGAUGACAACAGCUUCAGACCCCAAGUUUUUCUGAGACUCUCUGUCCAAUGAGUUUGAAGUCCUUCAGGGGGAAGAGAAGCCUGUGUCCAUGGUAGAAGAAGUUAGAAGACACAUUAAUAAAACUUAUAGAUGAUCAAAGGAGAAGACUAGAAUAACUCACUUCAACAAGUGCUAACUGAAUCUUGAGUAGUCUUAUCCUGAGAGGAGACAGGUUCGACCCACGUAAUAUAAAUCCAGCGUCUCUUCUGGAUAUUUCACCGAGUUGGUCAGCAAAACACAUCUCACUGACAUCCAAACCACCACUCAUCAUCAUCUGACCACAACCAGGGCAGCAAACAUCCACUGCAAAGUGUAGUUCCGCACAGCUUCUGCAAAUGUGGAAAAGCGGAGUGCUCUUCUUGGCACCGUACUUAAACGCGGAUAACGCACCAGGAUGAACCAUAUUAUCCCACAUCCAUCUCUCAAAACUCUGGAACCGUUGCAACACUCCGCUUCUGCCACCAUCCCCUAGCUCUAUCUUAAACGUUGAGGAGAUCUCCGCUGUAUCAGUAUCCAAGCCGGUACUCGUCUCCACGUUCCUCCUCACUGCUUCUUUAAAAGAAGCUUCCAUCUUUAGCAACAUGAAAUGAAGAUGUGAUUCACGUACACCACGGACGUCUAGUGACUUCACCAAACAGUCAAAACCCUGAAAAAAAGAACCAUCAAACAAAUGUUUCCACAUUUUCAAGAAAAGAGUUUUGUUUUUUUCUUUCAAAUAUUUACUACCUCUUCUGAAUCAAUGAGUCUCCAUCGACCAUCCUGAAGCUCAACGAAUAUCCUACCACAACCAGGAUCGUUCCUAGAGGCGGAUGCUGAAAACCGCCAAUAACGGUUGCGUCUUCGAUCUAGACCGAGCGGAAGUGACCUGUAUACAUACAGCUCUUCAGCUUUAUAUCCAACGUAGGCUUUUAACUCUGCACGGAGCCUUUCUCGGUCCGCUGUGUAACUCUGCUGAUGAUGAUACUGCAAAUUCUCCAUUCCAGACACGUUUUCUUGCAACUGCAAGCUUGGUCCUGCUGCUACAUCGAUCUGUGGAAGACUCAACGGGUCCUGUGACGCUGAUGGGCUUUCUUGAGUCUUCGGUGUUGGGUAUGAGAGGUAAUUCGCACGGAUCAAAGACUCUUCUUUCCAUCGUUUGUCGAGUUGUACUUCACUCCACAUUUGUUUCUUUAACGCACUCGCAACUUCCAAACGUUCCUGCACGCACGCAACACUCAUUAUUAUGGUCAAAGAUUCAAGUGAAUGUAAAGUUUUGAGACUUUUUUUUAGGUUACCUCAAGGGAGAUUCGGAUAGUGUUUCCUUCGAUUGCAAUACCAAUCAGAGCUACAAGUGCGUUUAAACGUUCCUCAAUGCUGAGACUCGAAUAGUCUCCUUCUACGAGUCCUUGCACCCAUUGUUCUCCAAGUUUGCUCACGUCAAAACAGUCACCAUCCUCUUGAUCCGGUAAGAUGUCAUCUAUUUUCUCAUCUUUUGUAGAUUCCUCCGGGAGAGAGGGAGUAAGAGGGUUUGCCUCCGGUUCUGUUUUCAGUUUCCCAUUUUCCAACGAGGGUUCUACACCACCGGUUAACUUUCCUAUCUCCUCCAGAGCAUCAGGAUCUUCCUUUUUGAGGUUCAAAUCAACCUCUGGCUCAUCUCCUACAUCGCUUUCGGAGUCUUCUUCUCUCUCAGCUUCAUCAACAUCUUCCACAUCCGUAACACCGCUCUUGAACAUGCGUAUUCUCUCCC